GAGGAAUAUUGGUCAAUGGGCGAGAGCCUGAACCAGCCAAGUAGCGUGCAGGAUGACGGCCCUAUGGGUUGUAAACUGCUUUUGUAUGGGGAUAAAGUCAAUCACGUGUGAUUGUUUGCAGGUACCAUACGAAUAAGGACCGGCUAAUUCCGUGCCAGCAGCCGCGGUAAUACGGAAGGUCCGGGCGUUAUCCGGAUUUAUUGGGUUUAAAGGGAGCGUAGGCUGGAGAUUAAGUGUGUUGUGAAAUGUAGACGCUCAACGUCUGACUUGCAGCGCAUACUGGUUUCCUUGAGUACGCACAACGUUGGCGGAAUUCGUCGUGUAGCGGUGAAAUGCUUAGAUAUGACGAAGAACUCCGAUUGCGAAGGCAGCUGACGGGAGCGCAACUGACGCUGAAGCUCGAAGGUGCGGGUAUCGAACAGGAUUAGAUACCCUGGUAGUCCGCACAGUAAACGAUGGAUGCCCGCUGUUGGUACGUGGUAUCAGCGGCUAAGCGAAAGCAUUAAGCAUCCCACCUGGGGAGUACGCCGGCAAGGUUG
rnacentral:rRNA from 1 species